rnacentral:rRNA from 1 species
GAUCAUGGCUCAGAUUGAACGCUGGCGGCAUGCCUUACACAUGCAAGUCGAACGGCAGCACGGGAGCUUGCUCCUGGUGGCGAGUGGCGAACGGGUGAGUAAUGCAUCGGAACGUGCCCUGAAGUGGGGGAUAACGUAGCGAAAGUUACGCUAAUACCGCAUAUUCUGUGAGCAGGAAAGCAGGGGAUCUUCGGACCUUGCGCUUUUGGAGCGGCCGAUGUCGGAUUAGCUAGUUGGUGGGGUAAAGGCCCACCAAGGCGACGAUCCGUAGCGGGUCUGAGAGGAUGAUCCGCCACACUGGAACUGAGACACGAUCCAGACUCCUACGGGAGGCAGCAGUGGGGAAUUUUGGACAAUGGGCGCAAGCCUGAUCCAGCCAUGCCGCGUGAGUGAAGAAGGCCUUCGGGUUGUAAAGCUCUUUCGGUGGGGAAGAAAUUGCUUGGGUUAAUACCCUGAGUAGAUGACGGUACCCGCAUAAGAAGCACCGGCUAACUACGUG